CAAUAGCGUAUAUUAAAGUUGUUGCGGUUAAAAGCUCGUAGUUGGAUUUCUGCUUGGGAGGACCGGUCCGCCCUCUGGGUGAGCAUCUGGUUUAUCCUGGGCAUCUUCUUGGGGAACGUUACUGCAAUUGAGUUUGUGGUGCGGUACCCAGGACUUUUACUUUGAGGAAAUGAGAGUGUUCCAAGCAGGCAAUCGCCGUGAAUAUGAUAGCAUGGAAUAAUAGCACAGGACUCUGGGUUCAAUGCUGUUGGUUGAUUGAACUCGAGUAAUCAUAAUAAGGAUAGUUGGGGGUAUUCGUAUUUAACUGUCAGAGGUGAAAUUCUUGGAUUUUUUAAAGACGAACAAUUGCGAAGGCAUCUACCCAGGAUGUUUUUGUUGAUCAAGAACGAAAGUUAGGGGAUCGAAGACGAUCAGAUACCAU
rnacentral:rRNA from 1 species